AUUGAACGCUGGCGGCAGGCCUAACACAUGCAAGUCGAGCGGAUGAAGGGAGCUUGCUCCUGGAUUCAGCGGCGGACGGGUGAGUAAUGCCUAGGAAUCUGCCUGGUAGUGGGGGAUAACGUCCGGAAACGGGCGCUGAUACCGCAUACGUCCUGAGGGAGAAAGUGGGGGAUCUUCGGACCUCACGCUAUCAGAUGAGCCUAGGUCGGAUUAGCUAGUUGGUGGGGUAAAGGCCUACCAGGGCGACGAUCCGUAACUGGUCUGAGAGGAUGAUCAGUCACACUGGAACUGAGACACGGUCCAGACUCCUACGGGAGGCAGCAGUGGGGAAUAUUGGACAAUGGGCGAAAGCCUGAUCCAGCCAUGCCGCGUGUGUGAAGAAGGUCUUCGGAUUGUAAAGCACUUUAAGUUGGGAGGAAGGGCAGUAAGUUAAUACCUUGCUGUUUUGACGUUACCAACAGAAUAAGCACCGGCUAACUUCGUG
rnacentral:rRNA from 1 species